UUUCCUUUUAUUUUCUUUUGCUGAUAUGAUUGACUUACUGCCUGUUUUGUUCGAUUUUGUCUCCUUAGAUCCGUUUCUUAGUUUGGUCACUUUCUUGUUGAAUUGAUUGAAAUUACAAUUAUUUAUUAGAAUGAUUGAGAUCUGCUCUGUUUUGUUUGGUAUUUACCAUAGUUUGAUACUUCUGAGAUAUAGUUUAUUUCUGUUCAUCCUGUUGAAUUGAUUUGGACUUCGUUUUCUUUUUCGGUUCCCUUUUCCCAUUUUUACAUGUACUAUUAUCAAGUGUACUGAUAGUUGAUGCUUGUGCUGUUGUUAACUUACUUUGGUACUACAAUUUAUGUAAAAUUAUAUGACUAGAAUGAUGUCUAUCGUUGAAUAUCCUACAUGGUAUUCUAGGACCUGAUGUCAGCAUGUUGAUGUUUGCAGUGACAAUUUCUAGCUUGGAGAUACCAUUUCAGUAGCUCGGAAGAUCAACUUCUCUGAGAAUUUGAUGUGAGCCCCACUAAUCAUGGCUUCGAGGGCACCUGUUGGUGGAUUCCAACGACUCUCAUCUGCUUUGUCUUCAGCUGCUCUUGAAUGGAUGUUGAUGCUUCUGUUAUUCUUUGAUGCCUUGUUUGCCUACCUGGUGACAAGGUUCUCUCGUCUUUGCAUGCUACAAAAACCUUGUAUGUUUUGCUCAAGGCUAGAUCAUGUUUUUGGAAAUGAGAAACGAGGCUUCUAUCUGGAUUUGAUCUGUGAAACUCACAGAUCAGAGAUCUCAUUGUUGGGUUGCUCUAAUGGUCAUGAAAAGCUUGCUGAUGUUCAUACCGUGUGCCAGGGCUGUUUUCUUUCAUUUGAUACCGAAGGGACAUCCAACUCUGAGACUUACAAAUCAUUGGUUGGUGAGUUAAAAGGGCAUCUUGAGGACGGUGAAGAUGUUCAGGACAUUGAUGGCCUCCAUCUGUUUCAUGGGGAUGAAUUGGCAAAUGUCCCUUUUUUAAAGAAGGAUGAUGAACUACAUGCCAUCAAGUCGCUUGAAGAUAAAUCCAUAAGAGUUGAUGUUUCUGAAGUUGACAUUUCUUUGUCAAGUUCAAAUGGGCACAGUUAUCUACAGAAUAAAGAUGGAGCGAAAAAGACGAGAGAGAAAACCUUGGUUUCCCCAGCAUAUCAUUAUUCAAAGAAUCAAGAACAUGAUCACUUCUCUCAUGUUGGAUACAGUGAAGUUAAAAUUACUUCGGACUCUGAUUCUGACUUAGAGAUCCAGUUCACAGAUGAUGAUGAAGGAAAUUCUCCAUCUCAUCGAGCUGAAACUGUCAUGUAUGAUUUGGUGUCUCAUGUUGAAGAAUCAGAGGGUGUCACUCUAAUAAAAAAUGAUUUAUCUGGAAGUGUUUCAGGUGAAAGAGCCACAGAAAAGUUGAUUCGUACGGAUCAAAUUAGUGUUUCAGAUGCUAAACCCCUUGAAAAGUUGACCGACCCUGCUCCAGUAAUUAGUGACCCUUUUGAGUCAAUUCCUGAAAAGCAAAGAAAUGCAGAUAAUUUGAAGUUUAGUGAUGCUGCUUAUGGUCAAACUACUACUAUUGAUGAUGCAAAGGAUUGCUGUACAACUGACAUCACUUUGAGGACAAGUCAUGAUGCAAAUUUUAUUGUUUCUGAUGAUAAAGCCCUAGAAAAGUUGAUGCACUCUGAUCCAGUUAUCACUGAGCCUUCGGAGUCAAUUUCUGAGAAUCAAACAAACGUAGAUGAGCUCCAAGAUGCAUCAACCUUUUCAUCUUCUGGAGCUGCUGGACAUUUUUUGGAGGAUAGCAAUUGUAACCAGAUCGAAGUCAAAGCUAUUCCCCCCCAAUCUGAAUUUGUGCCACAAGAUUCUCAAGAAGUUCUUCUAGAAGAUUCAAAUGUGAAAGCAUGUACUGGUACUACUUCAGUUGAUGAUGCAAAGGAUUGGUGUACAACUAACAUCGAUUUGGGGACAAGUCAUGAUGCAAGUGACCCUGGUCAAUCUAUGAGUACUCGUAUGGAUUUGAAUGAUGCUUAUAAGAUUGCUGUUGGUGAUAAGGGAAGCUUGUCAUCUCCUAGAUUUACUGAUGUAAUCAUUGGGAGGGAUUCUUCUAGAGUUCAGGAAGAUCUGAAACUCCUGAUUUCUCAGAUAUCUGCAGCUCAGGGGCUUGAGUCUCCAUGGAAUGAAAUGAGCCCUAGUCCCCGAGUAUAUGGACAAGGUGAUGAAUAUAUAUUGCAGAACAUAACUAAAACACUCUCUCUUGAGAGGAAUGAAUCAGGAUUAGAGUCACUAGAUGGAAGCAUUGUAAGUGAGGUGGAAGGAGAAAGUCCAGUUGAGAGGCUGAAGCGGCAGGUUGAGUUGGACAGGAAGUCCAUAAGUCUUCUCUUCAAGGAGUUAGAAGAAGAAAGAAGUGCUUCAGCAAUUGCAGCAAAUCAAGCAAUGGCCAUGAUUACUAGGUUGCAAGAGGAGAAGGCUGCAAUGCAUAUGGAAGCCCUGCAGUACCAAAGAAUGAUGGAAGAGCAAGCAGAGUAUGACCAUGAAGCACUUCAAAAAUGUAACAAAUUGCUUACUCAAAGGGAGAAAAUGAUACAAGGCUUGGAAGCUGAGGUGGAAAGCCUUAGAAUAUGCUUUGUAGAAGGAUUAUCCACUGACAAUUCAGUGGAGCAGAGUGAUAACUUCCAUGAUAAGGAGAUUGCAUCUUGGAACAAAUCCGGGGAACCUCAUGUAACAUGUCAAAAUUCAAGAUGGAGUGAAUUUGGGGAUUUGAAGGAUCCCUUAUCUUGCUUUGAAGAUGAGGAGGCAUAUAUAUUAAACUGUUUGACAAAGUUGGAGAAAAAGCUUCAUCUUUUUUCCAAUAAUGGUGUUUAUGAUGAUAGUUCAAGUUUUAAUUUGAAUGCUGAUGAUGAAAAUGGACUUCCUGAUAAAACAAGUGGGGAUGUUGACAGAGAAUUUUUUGUAGAAAGGAAUGUUGUGUCAGAAGGUGGUGCGGGCACAAAUGGUCAAAUCUUUGACGAAGUUCAAGUUUCAAGUCAAGAGAAAAUUUAUCAGAAAGAUGGUCCUCCAGAAAAUAUUCAGGUAGGAGAGAACAUUAUGAUGGAAGAAAAAAUUUCUGGAAAAAGUUCAAGUUCCUCUAAAGGAAACCGUGGAGACAGUUAUGACAUUGACAAGCAAAAAUUAUUGAAAGUAGGGAACAAGAAUGAGUUAGUUGCUCUUGAGAAUGAAGUGUCACGUCUGAGUCAGAGGUUGGAGGCACUUGAGGCAGAUCGUAAUUUCCUGGAACAUGCCAUUAACUCACUCAGAAGUGGCAACAAUGGUGUUCAGAUUAUUCAAGAGAUAGCUUGUGAUCUGCGGGAAUUACGGAGAAUUGCAAUCACCCGAUGAGAGCGUCUUAUAACUUGAACUUUUAUCUUAUCCAAAAGGUUGGUGCAUGUAGCGGGCAAUACACUAGUUGUAUUGGGUAAAUGUAGAAUCAAGGGCGAGCUUACUGCCUGGUUCUGACCCCCUAAAAGAAAAGCUCCAGAUAAUAAGCUCAGUUUCUGCAGGGCUUGGAUCGACGCACGAAGUCUUAGCAUCUACAAUUAUGUAUUAUUUUCUAUAUUCAGAAAUGUGUGUAUUACCCAAUGAGUGUUUUUCUUUUCUUUUCUUCUUUGUGUUUGCUUGGUGUUGUGUUGUCUUUUUGUCCUCAUGGUCUCUUAACUACAUUCCCUCCGGAGUAUUCUUUAAACUCUUUAAAAUAUGUGUAAAUUUGUAAUAGGGUGAUUUUUUUGUAUGAUAGUAAUAACUUGCACACUGUAAAGUUCCUUCUGUAUUCGCGUA